CCCCUAGAUGUUCUGGGCAGCACGCGCGCUACACUGACAUGUUCAACAAGCCUCCUAGUUCGACAGGAUUUGGGAAAUCUUUGAACGCAUGUCGUGAUAGGGAUAGAUCAUUGCAAUUAUUGAUCUUGAACGAGGAAUUCCUAGUAAACGCGAGUCAUCAGCUCGCAUUGAUUACGUCCCUGCCCUUUGUACACACCGCCCGUCGCACCUACCGAUUGAAUGUUUCGGUGAAGAUUCCGGAUAGGACUUUUUUGAUUUAUUUCAAUUUUGUCUUAAAAGCUAUCUAAACCUCAACAUUUAGAGGAAGGUGAAGUCGUAACA
rnacentral:rRNA from 1 species